rnacentral:lncRNA from 1 species
GCAAAAAUUCCCCUGACAGGGAGUACUUUUAAAUUUCAAAUCCUUUAGGGGAUAAUUGGCCAGACUGCUCGGCAGGAGCCACAGCAAAAUCCAAGCAGGCAGCUGUGGGACUGCUAUAGCCGGCCCUUUGCUCGGGCCUUUCUGAGCAGGAAGCGAGUCGCUCGCUGCCCCCGGGUGCGGGCGCGCAGGACCAGCAGCUGCCCCCAGCCACGGGCGCGCCACCUGUUUCCGCCUGGGACUUCCCCCAGCCGGCUCCGAAGUGUGGAGUCAGCAGCUUGGCCUGGCCCGGCAUCAGGGGCCCAGCGCAGCCCUACCCCACCGCCGCCUCCCGUGAGGCCCCGCCUGGAAGAGGCGUGGACUGCACCCUGGUGCGCGCGUUCUGGGCUUGGCCUUGAAAAUCAGGAUGGCGAUGACCGCUGAGCAGUGGGAAGGACAACUGGUUUUACAAACUGCCUCUGCAAACAAAGCAACCAAAGCCUGGAAUUUGAACUUGCUUACUUAGAAGCCUCUACAAAUCCCAGAAUAUGAAAACUGCCUGUCCAUUUGGUUGGGGGGUUGUAUCUGGUGGGAAGGACAUUAGUUGGGUAUGUAGGAUCUAACUUUUGUGCCAAGCUGAGUGACCCUGUGGGCUCAGGUGAAUCACUUCAUUUCUUGAUCUUCAGUGUUCCCAAAAAGUAAACAAGGGAAUUGAACUAGAUUCUGGUCUCAGAUCUCUUCCUGCCCCAAGAAAAGGAAAAUCUUUUUUUCUUUCUUUCUUUUUGGUGUGGUGCUGAGGAUGGAACACAGGGCCCUGAGCUUGCUAACAAGGACUCUACAUCUGAGCUACAUCCCUGCCCAAGAAAAGGAAAUUCACAGCAAAAUCCUUUGGAGACCCACAGGUUUGGGGCUUAUCUUCUUGAAGCCAUCAAGCAAUAGUUGCUGAAUUUCUGUUUACCACAAAUUGGCUGAAAUCAUAUAAUCCCUACAUUUCAUCAUCUCUAAAAGCAGGGUUUAGACAAAGAAGUCUCUCGGGUAUUUUCCAAAUACAAAAUUCUGUAAUUCUAAAUUCGGGUUCCUGGCAGCUGUCUUCCCUGCACCCCAAUGUUCUUCUGAAG